UCCAGUUUAGAUUCAGAGCGAACGUUCUUGGCAGGAACGCUACAGAGAUGGUGUUUCUAAACCUGUAGUGUGCUUCCAUCACUUCAGGAGACAGAUGAAGCUAGCUUGUCCAAUUAGUAGUAAUUAAGCUUUGCUCGCUUGAUUAAGGCGGUGUACGCCAGAUCAGGCUAGCUUUCGAUAAACACAGAAACCUGGGUUUUAUUGGCAUUGACUUCCCAAGCAGCUGAAGGGAAUGUAGCCCUCCUAGCCUGCCUUCAUCUUCACUCCUCCACUCUGAACGCCAGGAACAGUCUCCACCGCAGGACGUGGGGGGAGAGUCGCGAGGCCCUGCCGGGGCGUCGCUUGUUCCCAGUUAUCCUGAGGCCAGCGGAGACAUCGCCUCCGUCAUUUUCUGUCUGGCACUGCUGGGCCCGGGAUGGAAGUUAUCCCUGCACCCCACCACGCGCCACGUGUCUACGCAGUAAUCUCAGCCUGUGCGUGAAAGCAGUCCACAGUUUUGAUGACCACUGAGAGAACCCAGAGAAGACUUCUUUCCUUCGCCUGAACUCUACGGGGAAAUGGAGCCUUGGUACUAGCAGAGUCUUCUUGUGCCCAUCCACCUCCUCCUAGAGUUCAGACGAAUUUGGUCGACAGGCUGUCAAGAGAUUCCUGCCAGAGGCUACCUGGGGUCUACUCAGAACCAGCGCUUGGUCCUGGCAUGGGCCCGUUGAGCCCCACCAGCUUCUCAACACUCCUCAGUUCUUGUUGCUUUACAACAGUAAUCCAACCUUGGAUGAGAUUGGAUUCACCAUCACGUGCAACCAGGACACUAUUCAUACUGGAAAAGACAUGGGGAUAAAGGAUUCCUUAAAGCCAUGUUAGAAGACCUUUCCUGAAUGAACUGAAACUCCUGUUUUUGACACCUGACUUUAACUAAGACCAGCACUACCAGACCAUGAUAAGACAUCCGAACUAAGACAGAUGACCCAAGAUUCUGGACCAGACUUGUAUACUAUUUUGACAAUUGCUCUUGGUUUUGCUUAGGAACCAAGUGUAUUUCUUGGGCUUAAACACGUGCAAGUUUCAAAAACCAAUUAUCUUAAGACAGUCCAACACUGUGCACGCUGUCACACUGCCAGUGUCGGAGACCCUUAACCAGCCGGUUAACAACGCCUCUUCUGCCAUGUUGUUGUUGUGUAGUCACUAGGUUGUGUCCAACUCUGCGACCACGUGGACUGUAGCGCGCCAGGCUCCUCUGUCCAGGGGAUUUUUCAGGCAAGAAUACUGGAGUGGGUUG